rnacentral:rRNA from 1 species
GGAUGGGCAUGCGGCGCAUUAGGAAGUUGGCGGUGUAACGGACCACCAAUCCGUCGAUGCGUAGGGGUUCUGAGAGGAAGGCCCCCCACACUGGUACUGAGACACGGACCAGACUCCUACGGGAGGCAGCAGUGAGGAAUAUUGGUCAAUGGGCGGGAGCCUGAACCAGCCAAGUCGCGUGAGGGAAGAAGGUACUGAGUAUUGUAAACCUCUUUUGCCAGGGGACAAACGGCGGCACGCGUGCCGUCCUGAGGGUACCCGGAGAAAAAGCAUCGGCUAACUCCGUGCCAGCAGCCGCGGUAAUACGGAGGAUGCGAGCGUUAUCCGGAUUUAUUGGGUUUAAAGGGUGCGUAGGCGGGAUGCCAAGUCAGCGGUCAAAUACGGGGGCUCAACCUGCGUCCGCCGUUGAAACUGGCGUUCUUGAGUGGGCGAGAAGUACGCGGAAUGCGUGGUGUAGCGGUGAAAUGCAUAGACAUCACGCAGAACCCCGAUUGCGAAGGCAGCGUACCGGCGCCCGACUGACGCUGAAGCACGAAAGCGUGGGUAUCGAACAGGAUUAGAUACCCUGGUAGUCCAUGCAGUAAACGAUGAACACUAAUUGUCCGGCGGGGUUUGCCGCUGGGUGAUACAGCGAAAGCGUUAAGUGUUCCACCUGGGGAGUACGCCGGCAACGGU